CCGAGGGAGCGAUUUGAGACCUGGUUCCAAGACAUGGAGUUGCUCAACGAGAAUGAGAGGUCAAAGACCAAGGGAAGAGGUCAUCAAGAGGUCAAGUCUAAUCUACCUAUGGAUGUGGCAGGCUUAACUAUGGAUGUUCAAACCAAACAUUGCCAGCAGAACCACAUCUCUUCACCCAUAGAAGAUGCAGCCUACAGCUGAAGAGAAACAGAUACAACACCAAUAUCUUACACUCUCUGAAGCCCAACUGAGAGCCCCUGGAGUCAGAAGUUUUCAAGACAAGAAAAAGUCAUUCUUCUUCUGAACAGAGAGAGUGGAGGCUAUUCAAACAUUCAACUUUAAAUUGUUAACAUGACUUGUUAGAAUGUGAUGGAGCAAGCCUCAUACCUUCUAAGUUUCAUGAUUUUUCUCCAGAAUACUGAGAGGGAUGACCUUAAAGUCCAGUUUCCCCAUAAAUGUCUUUAUUCAGUGAUAAAAUUAAAUUCCCUAUAAAAUAAUUCCCAUAGGGCUGGCCCCGUCGCUUAGUGGUUAAGUGCUCUGCUACUGGUGUCCCGGGUUCAGAUCCGGCAUGCACUAACACGCCGCUUCUCCGGCCAUGCUGAGGCCACAUCCCACAUACAACAACUAG